CACUGACCUGCCCGGCGCCGGGCACACGGGCAUCGGCUGCGAUCUGAUGGACCGCGCUCAGGUGGGGCGGUUGUUCGAGCUGGUCGCCGAUGUC
rnacentral:tRNA from 1 species